rnacentral:rRNA from 1 species
UACGUAGGGUGCAAGCGUUAAUCGGAAUUGCUGGGCGUAAAGCGUGCGCAGGCGGUUGUGCAAGACAGAUGUGAAAUCCCCGGGCUUAACCUGGGAACUGCAUUUGUGACUGCACGGCUAGAGUGUGUCAGAGGGGGGUAGAAUUCCACGUGUAGCAGUGAAAUGCGUAGAGAUGUGGAGGAAUACCGAUGGCGAAGGCAGCCCCCUGGGAUAACACUGACGCUCAGGCACGAAAGCGUGGGGAGCAAACAGG